rnacentral:rRNA from 1 species
GAUGAACGCUGGCGGCGUGCCUAAUACAUGCAAGUCGAGCGAACGGACGAGGAGCUUGCUCCUCUGACGUUAGCGGCGGACGGGUGAGUAACACGUGGAUAACCUACCUAUAAGACUGGGAUAACUUCGGGAAACCGGAGCUAAUACCGGAUAAUAUUUUGAACCGCAUGGUUCAAUAGUGAAAGACGGUUUUGCUGUCACUUAUAGAUGGAUCCGCGCUGCAUUAGCUAGUUGGUAAGGUAACGGCUUACCAAGGCAACGAUGCAUAACCGACCUGAGAGGGUGAUCGGCCACACUGGAACUGAGACACGGUCCAGACUCCUACGGGAGGCAGCAGUAGGGAAUCUUCCGCAAUGGGCGAAAGCCUGACGGAGCAACGCCGCGUGAGUGAUGAAGGUCUUCGGAUCGUAAAACUCUGUUAUUAGGGAAGAACAUAUGUGUAAGUAACUGUGCACAUCUUGACGGUACCUAAUCAGAAAGCCACGGCUAACUACGUG